rnacentral:pre_miRNA from 1 species
AAAAAAGUAAACCAUGAGUUUCCGUGUCCAACUUUGACUGUCCAUCUUAUAUGAAAUUUUUUUAUAAUUCGUAUUUUUAUUGUUGUUAGAUGAUAAAAUAUGAUUAAUAUUUUAUGCGUGACUUGUCUUUUUAAUAUUUUUCGUAAUUUUUUCAAAUAAGACGAAUGGUCAAACGUUGGACACGAAAAUCAGGGUUUGUCUUUUU